rnacentral:rRNA from 1 species
UACGGGGGGGGCAAGCGUUGUUCGGAAUUACUGGGCGUAAAGGGCUCGUAGGCGGCUAACUAAGUCGGAUGUGAAAUCCCCAGGCUUAACCUGGGAACUGCGCUUGAUACUGUCGAGCUAGAGUGUGGAAGGGGCGAUUGGAAUUCCGUGUGUAGCGGUGAAAUGCGUAGAUAUACGGAGGAACACCAGAGGCGAAGGCGGAUCGCUGGGCCAACACUGACGCUGAUGUGCGAAAGCUAGGGGAGCAAACGGG